rnacentral:lncRNA from 1 species
CAGCUGCCAUUGGCUUGAAGUGGAAGGGAGAUUUUCCGGUGAUGCUACGUCCACAGCCAAUUGUUGUCAUCAGCAUCAUCAUCUCCUUGUUCUUCUUCUGUGAUUGUGCUGCUUCGUCUGCUGCUUGUGAUUUGGCUAAUAUGAAUGAUAGGAAUGUGUGACGGAGAGAUGAACAGCCACCCCAAUCACAAUGGCCUUUUGGUGCUCCACGUGGCAUCCCGCUGAUGGCUCCUCACUUUUGCUUACAAAUUAAUUUCUCCAAUUUUAAAAAUAAAAGAAGUUUCUU